AUUGAACGCUGGCGGCAGGCCUAACACAUGCAAGUCGAACGGUAACAGGAAGCAGCUUGCUGCUUCGCUGACGAGUGGCGGACGGGUGAGUAAUGUCUGGGAAGCUGCCUGAUGGAGGGGGAUAACUACUGGAAACGGUAGCUAAUACCGCAUAAUGUCGCAAGACCAAAGAGGGGGACCUUCGGGCCUCUUGCCAUCGGAUGUGCCCAGAUGGGAUUAGCUUGUUGGUGGGGUAACGGCUCACCAAGGCGACGAUCCCUAGCUGGUCUGAGAGGAUGACCAGCCACACUGGAACUGAGACACGGUCCAGACUCCUACGGGAGGCAGCAGUGGGGAAUAUUGCACAAUGGGCGCAAGCCUGAUGCAGCCAUGCCGCGUGUAUGAAGAAGGCCUUCGGGUUGUAAAGUACUUUCAGCGGGGAGGAAGGGAGUAAAGUUAAUACCUUUGCUCAUUGACGUUACCCGCAGAAGAGGCACCGGCUAACUCCGUG
rnacentral:rRNA from 1 species